UACGUAGGGGGCUAGCGUUGUCCGGAAUCAUUGGGCGUAAAGCGCGUGUAGGCGGCCCGAUAAGUCCGCUGUGAAAGUCGGGGGCUCAACCCUCGAAAGCCGGUGGAUACUGUCAGGCUAGAGUACGGAAGAGGCGAGUGGAAUUCCUGGUGUAGCGGUGAAAUGCGCAGAUAUCAGGAGGAACACCAAUGGCGAAGGCAGCUCGCUGGGACGGUACUGACGCUGAGACGCGAAAGCGUGGGGAGCAAACAGG
rnacentral:rRNA from 1 species